rnacentral:lncRNA from 1 species
AAUUUUUCAUAACGGGUGAAAUUGUCACCUAAUUUCAUUAAAAAGAUUAGGAAACUUUUUACAAAAAAAAAUACAUUUCAAGUGUUAGUCUUUAAAAAAGCAUAGUUUGCAUCAUUUAAAUGACUUGUUAAAUUACUUAUGAGAUCAUUUUAAUUGUUAAAAAAUAAAACUACUUGAUCUGCUCCUGUCUGUGAUAUACCAUAUAUUUUUAACAAAAAAGUUAUUUUUAUUCAUUUUAUUGCUUUAGCUCCAUAUAGUUUAUUUCCUUGAUAAAAUUAGAAUAUGAUAGUUCUUAUGAAACUGACUUGCUGUUAGAGUGGUAUUUAAUUUUUCUUUUUUGUUCAGCAGGAACGAAUGCAGGAAUUUGGGAACUGAGCUGUGCAAGUGCUGAAGAAGGAGAUUUGUUUGGAGGAAACAGGAAAGAGAAAGAAAAGGAAGGAAAAAAUACAUAAUUUCAGGGACGAGAGAGAGAAGAAAAACGGGGACUAUGGGGAGAAAAAAGAUUCAGAUUACGAGGAUUAUGGAUGAACGUAACAGACAGGUGACAUUUACAAAGAGGAAAUUUGGGUUGAU